rnacentral:rRNA from 1 species
GUUCCAGACUCCUACGGGAGGCAGCAGUGGGGAAUAUUGCACAAUGGGGGGAACCCUGAUGCAGCAACGCCGCGUGGGUGAAGAAGUACUCCGGUAUGUAAAGCCCUGUCAGCAGGGAAGAAAAUGACGGUACCUGACCAAGAAGCCCCGGCUAACUACGUGCCAGCAGCCGCGGUAAUACGUAGGGGGCAAGCGUUAUCCGGAUUUACUGGGUGUAAAGGGAGCGUAGACGGCAGCGCAAGUCUGGAGUGAAAUGCCGGGGCCCAACCCCGGAACUGCCCUGGAAACUGUGAAGCUGGAGUGCAGGAGAGGUAAGCGGAAUUCCUAGUGUAGCGGUGAAAUGCGUAGAUAUUAGGAGGAACACCGGUGGCGAAGGCGGCUUGCUGGACGGUAACUGACGUUGAGGCUCGAAAGCGUGGGGAGCAAACAGGAUUAGAUACCCCGGUAACC